GUGGGCAUAGCUCAGUUGGUUAGAGCGCUGGAUUGUGGUUCCAGAGGUCGAGGGUUCGACCCCCUCUGUCCACCCCA
rnacentral:tRNA from 1 species